UCCGGUCAAAUCUCGCUGAAAACACUGGUUUUCGUUCGAUCACCGAAGUUAAGACUUGUCGAGCUCGGUCAGUAGUUAAAUGGGGGAGGUGAGCUCGUGCGAAUAUUGGACACUGUA